rnacentral:lncRNA from 1 species
AGAUUCUAGGACAAAAAGAAGUCAGUUUAGGUUCAAAAGAGCACGCACAGAUCCUGAGUGUUGUCAAGCACCCGUGACUGGGAAACGGAGGCGUCCGAUCCGUAUUGGAGUCAAUUCGCCACUUAAUUGAAAAACCCUUUGAAAAGAUUCAGCACGUUGCCAUGGAGAACAUCCCACUGAAGGAAUGUAUAGAAGUAGCAGGUGUCAGCUGCCUACCAGUUGCUUUCAUCUCUAGAAAUCUGUGACUUGCAGUAUGACAAGAACAAAAGGUGACAAUACAAAGGACAAAGGGCAAGGAAUACAGACGGAGAAGCCGCUUAGAGUCUAGGAUGGCAGAGGUUCUCUUGAUCAUUUCAUUUUUGAGCGCUUGUAGAGCUUUGGUGUACCAGAGGUGCUUGAACAGCUUACCACACCACAGAUGAAUGGCCUUUGGAUUUCUCCUAAGAAAAUGUGGCUACCUGAAAUUCAACUCCAUUUUCUGGUCUUCAAUAUUUCUUUUGUGUUCAGUUUGCCAGCUGAGGAGAAGUGGCUAAGCAUAGCCUGUUACUGAUGCUAAAGCCCAAGUUCUGAACCUAACAACUCCAGCAACAUGAUCCUGUUUCAAGAGACAAAAAAGUGACUAAUGAAAGAAAACAAUUGAUGUGCUAUGUAGAGUUUAAAAGAAGGUAAAGAGAAUAAAUUAA